CCUCAGUUAAAAUGAAAAUCUUACCAAAAAUAAACUACUUGUUCUCAAUGAUACCACUGAAACCACCAAAACAAUGGUUUCAAAGAUUAGAUUCUACAACUACAAAAUUCUAUACUAGAAAUAAAAAACCUAAAAUAAGCCUUUCUACCCUUCAAAAAAACAAAGACGAGGGUGGUUUAGAAGCCCCUAAUUUCAUGCAUUAUUACUUAGCAAACCAAAUACUAUAUUUAACAGAAUGGCUAAAUCCAAAAGAAUACUACAACACCUGGCUAGAAAUAGAACAGUUAGACUGCAAACACAUUAAACUCUCUGAUCUCCCUUUUAUCACUGCGACCCUCAAACAUCACAACUGCUUUAAAAACCCACUAAUUGCCUCCACACUGACUGCAUGGUGGAAAGCCCUGGACAUCACAAAUAGCCAAUUAAAAACUAGUAUACUCUCUCCAAUCUGGCACAACCCCGACUUUAAAAAUAAAAAAACACCACUCUAUCUGAAGACAUGGGAAGAGAGUGGAAUCACUCAUCUCCAAGACCUUUUUGAAAAUGACAAGAUCAGGUCAUAUAAUAAUCUAACCCAAGCAUUCGAUAUAAAUAAAAGUAACUUUCUACAGUACUUACAAGUAACAGAGACAAUAAAGAAAACCACUCCACUAGACUUAACUACGUUACAACCUCCAGAACUGGCUAUAUAUAUGAAAAAAAUCUCAACAAAAUCAAAAAAACUCUCAAAAAUAUACAGAGCGCUUUCGAACACUAACUGUAAUUACUUACCAAUCGCGAAGUGGGAGGCCGAACUCUCAAUCACCCCGAGCACUGAUUUCUGGGCAGAAAUUUGUUGUAAUACUUUUAAGAUGACAAAAAACACAAACCUUCAGCUAAUUCAAUACAAGGUCCUCCACAGAUCCCACAUUACCCAACAGAAAAUGCAUAAAAUGGGCUUCUCAGCAACAGAAAUCUGCUCUCAGUGCACCCAGAAUACAGCGGAUUCCUAUUUACAUGCCUUAUGGCUUUGCUCCCCAGUUCAACACUUUUGGAUUCUAAUCACUGAAAAACUGUCCUCCAUUUUGGACUACAGAAUUCCUUUAUCUCCAAAUCUUUGUUUGAUUGGAGACCUGACAAUGCUUCAAC
rnacentral:lncRNA from 1 species